CGGGGGAUAGCAUAAUGAGUGUGUUCUAUUUACGCUAGAAAGGUGGUGGUUUACCUUCUCCUUAUGA
rnacentral:tRNA from 1 species